AGCAUUAUCAAACAUUGCUCGCUUCACAAGCUUUUUACACUUUAAAAAACUGUGAAACAUGACUCGUGAUUGUGUACAAAUUUCUAAUUCACUUGCAUGAUAUACAGAGACUUUCAUAUUCGGCUUGGCAGUAAAGCUUCAUUUCUAUUUAGAAAAGAACAAAAGUGGAGAGGGUAUUAGGAAGUAACUGAAAACAAUUAUUUUGGCUUAUUAUAAGUGUAUUUCUUGAAAUUUCGUCAAUUGAUAAUAUAGAGUCGCAUAUCAUGCUUUAUUUAUCAUUCAAAAUUAAAAGUAAAAUGAUAAAGUAUGUACCGAACGCAAACCACCUUGUAAAAAUGUAAUAUGCCAUGUAGUGGUAUAGUUGAAACAGUAAAAAAAAAAACAAUGAUGUAAUUAUGUACAAACCUUCAAGUUCGACGCUGAUUUUCAUUUUAUCAUAAGUUAAAAAGUAAUAACAUUUAAAUCUUAUCAUCUACUUUACAGAUACAAUAAAAUUCUAGAAAUUUGUUCAGUUCAUCGUUGUAUAAUCGUGGAAUAACUCCUGACACAGGAAUAUCGGUUUACUGUAGUCACUUUCUGAAAAAGGCACGAUCGAAAUCUCCAAUGGAAACAACAUUUUCACUGUUUCUAUC